rnacentral:rRNA from 1 species
AGCUUGCUCCUGUGAUUUGAGCGGCGGACGGGUGAGUAACACGUAGGCAACCUACCCUUGAGAUUGGGAUAACUACCGGAAACGGUAGCUAAUACCGGAUACGACCUUUCCACAUAAGUGGAAUUGUUAAAAGGCGGAUUUAUCUGCCGCUCAUGGAUGGGCCUGCGGUGCAUUAGCUAGUUGGUGAGAUAGUAGCUCACCAAGGCGACGAUGCAUAGCCGACCUGAGAGGGUGAUCGGCCACACUGGGACUGAGACACGGCCCAGACUCCUACGGGAGGCAGCAGUAGGGAAUCUUCCGCAAUGGACGAAAGUCUGACGGAGCAACGCCGCGUGAGUGAUGAAGGGUUUCGGCUCGUAAAACUCUGUUGUUAAGGAAGAAUACUUGAGGUAGUAACUGGCCUUGAGAUGACGGUACUUAACCAGAAAGCCACGGCUAACUACGUGCCAGCAGCCGCGGUAAUACGUAGGUGGCAAGCGUUAUCCGGAAUUAUUGGGCGUAAAGCGCGCGUAGGCGGUAAAAUAGUCUGAUGUGAAAGCCCCCGG